rnacentral:lncRNA from 1 species
GCGCCAGCCACGAGGGAGCGUCCGCGGCCCGCGCGCCCGCGCGGCGGAGGAGAGGUGUUAAGUGUGAUGCUUCCAUAAUACAUUUGGAUGUUGUCAGCUAAGUUCACUUCUGAACUAAGGGGUUCCUCCAAAUGUUGGCUGAAAUUCAUCCCAAGGCUGGUCUGCAAAGUUUACAAUUCAUAAUGGAGCUACUGUACUGGCUAUUGGAAGGAGGAGAUUCUGAAGAUAAGGAGGUAAAACCUGUUUAGAAAUUAAAAAUGAGUUACGAUUUAAAGAAAAUUCAGAUGACUCAUUGUGAGUGCUAGUUCUCUUGUAGGAUGCCACUGGAAAUGUUGAAAUGAAAAAUAUUCAGCCGUCGGUCUUUGAAAUUUCCUGUGAUGUGUUUCAAUCGAGAUGCAAAGAACAUGGAAAAAUCAAAGUGCUCAAGUGGUUUAAAUAUGUUUUGGAUGUUCCUGUUUAUAGACUAUAAUACUUUUCCAAUUAAAAUCCUCAGUUGUCACGCAGAAGAAGGUUAAGCUGUAUUUGAUUGCCAGUUUUACUGAAAAUGCUUAGUAUUUUACAGUAUCACCAAAUAUAUUUUGUUUAGCCAAGGUAUAGGAAAAAUAAAAUAAAUUGUAUAGGUUGACUUUUUUCUAAAAUGUCUUUAUUGGAUAGAAUGAAUGUUUAUACCUGAAAAAA